rnacentral:lncRNA from 1 species
GCUGGAGCUGGGCACAUUUAAAGAGGAAAUAGAGGACCAGCCACCUCAUGGGAACACAGAUUUUUAUCCCUGAUUCUUUUUAAAAAAUUGCUCUAAAAAAGCUAUCCAUGCUGGCAAGAGUUUGCCGUCUCCAGCAAAACCUCUACGGUCUUAUAAUUAGGUACCAAAGAGGUAGGGAACUUUAAAACCAGAAAUUUAAAAAACAGGCCAAAUACUUUCCCUCCGAAGCAGGCUUUGCACACAGGCAUGCGGAUUGCUGGGGAUCACGUCCAAAUGCAGAUCUGUUUCAGCAGGUCCGGGGGUGCCCAAGAUGCCGCAUGGGAAGCAAGGUGGCUGGUGCUCAGAUCACACCUCCCUCGAGCAGCACGAGGCUCAGGGUCCACUGUGCCUCCUGGGAGCCUGACCAGAAUGGGACCGAAGAAAAGCCCAUGCGCUGCUGACCUGACCUGAUACCGGAGAUGCUGGAAGGUCUCCUGGUUCCCCUUGGUGAGUCAGCAGUCGCCCUCUGGCAUGGCCUGGAUCCACAGGGCUCCGUAUAGAAUGUGACAGUGGGGUUCCAACUCGCUGGAGAAGCUGGUGCCACCAUCUCUUCAAAAACAGCUUUAGCAGGAGGAAACAUCUUCACCUUAAAUUUCGCACUUCCAAAAUGUUCUCUGUGUUAUUAUUUGUAAAUUUAAAGUUAUUUUAAUCAAAUAAAAGUGUGAACAGAGUUG